AGCGAACGCUGGCGGCAGGCCUAACACAUGCAAGUCGAACGAAGCCUUCGGGCUUAGUGGCGGACGGGUGAGUAACACGUGGGAACGUACCUUUUGGUUCGGAGCAACUCAGGGAAACUUGAGCUAAUACCGGAGGAGCCCUGAGGGGGAAAGAUUUAUCGCCGAAAGAGCGGCCCGCGUUAGAUUAGCUAGUUGGGGAGGUAAAGGCUCACCAAGGCAACGAUCUAUAGCUGGUCUGAGAGGAUGAUCAGCCACACUGGGACUGAGACACGGCCCAGACUCCUACGGGAGGCAGCAGUGGGGAAUCUUGCGCAAUGGGCGAAAGCCUGACGCAGCCAUGCCGCGUGAAUGAUGAAGGUCUUAGGAUUGUAAAAUUCUUUUACCAGGGACGAUAAUGACGGUACCUGGAGAAAAAGCCCCGGCUAACUUCGUGCCAGCCGCCGCAGUAACAC
rnacentral:rRNA from 1 species